GUGAGGAAUAUUGCGCAAUGGGGGAAACCCUGACGCAGCGACGCCGCGUGGGUGACGAAGGCCUUCGGGUCGUAAAACCCUUUUGGCAGGGACGAGUGAGGACGGUACCUGUCGAAUAAGUCUCGGCGAACUACGUGCCAGCAGCCGCGGUAAAACGUAGGAGGCGAGCGUUAUCCGGAUUCACUGGGCGUAAAGCGCACGUAGGCGGUCGGGUAAGUCGGAUGUUAAAGCCCCUGGCUCAACUGGGGGAGGUCAUUCGAUACUGCUCGGCUUGAGGAUGAGAGAGGAAAGUGGAAUUCCCGGUGUAGCGGUGGAAUGCGUAGAGAUCGGGAGGAACACCAGUGGCGAAAGCGGCUUUCUGGCUCAUUCCUGACGCUGAGUGUGCGAAAGCGUGGGUAGCAAACGGGAUUAGAUACCCCUGUAGUCC
rnacentral:rRNA from 1 species